GGUUGCCGUCACGUCGCCACCAGUCAUCUCCAUCGUCCAUGCUCCUCCAGCGCCAACCACCGGAGAAGGCGCCCUCCUUCUGUAGCUUCCUCGCCCCAAUCAGCCCACCCCGGCUCCUUCGGUGCCGGCGACUGAACCGCCCCCGCCAGCGGCUUCUCCCGCACUCGUGCCCUCUCCAUAUCCCGCCCCAAACUCCACCUCCUCCAGCCCCAUCUCCCCCGAUCUUCUCGGUCUGGAUCUUGGGAGCACGCGGGAGAGAGGCGACGUGGGCGUUGCCCGGACGAGGCAUGGUGGUGGUGGCGAGAGACAGAUGAGUGUUAGCUACGUUUGCCGUCGUUGAAGAAUCGGGGGAGGCCGGACAAGGGCGGUUGGAGUUCCGUGCCCGCGGUGGCCGGAUGGGUGGCUCCCCCGCUCUCGGCAACCCGUCCUCCACCGGGUUUACUUCCUCGACGACCACCUCGGGGCCUCCAUCAAUCACCCGCGCUUCCUGGGCAGGAAGGUGAUUACAGGGAAUGGAGGCAUGCCGUGCAAGAAAUCACGAGGUUUCUAAAGGCUGACUCGCCUUUCAUGAACCUGAGACUUCUCAAGAGCUUUUGUUGUGCUGAGUCUUAUGUACGAGACAAGUAUGUGUCAUGAACUAACUUCAGAUAUUUGGUUCAGAAGUGUCGAGCAUAACUAUCCAUGGUGGUAUAUACACAGGCAGCGGUUCUGUGCCGCCCGGUGUGGCAUAUGCGGUCGUCCGUGUUAUGUGCUCCCGUAGGGUGGCUGUGAUGCGUGUGGCGUGCGUGCGGAAUGUGCGUCGGCCGACGUGCGUCUGUGUUCGUGUGUGUGGCGCUAUACUGGCAGAGGAAGCGGGCGGUUGCCGGCAGAGGAGGAACUUCAAGACAACAAGGGGAAUCAGGCUUCAUGGCUACACAUUCAUCUUUGAUUUUCCCCAAAUCUGAAAUUGUUUGACCCCUAAAUUUUAUUCCCCUUGAGAAAGCCAGAGUAUUCACAUAUAUUCAGGACAAUAUGGUCUAUCGAUGUUGACAAAUUUGAUUGCAACAGGGACUGGCAAAGUGCAGCGCUCACCAUUGCAUAUAUAUUCAGGGCAAAAUCUAACUUCAGUCAGAAGAUGACCAGGCAGGAGCUAUAUAUCCCUCUUGAAAGUUCAGGUAUCUUCCUCUUGCAUGUUAGUAUUGCUCUUUUUAUUUGCAUUUAAGCAUGGUUAUCAUGCUAUAUCCGGGAGAGAAGUGAUUGUCGGGUACCUAGGGUGACAGAUGUUCACUUCUUUAUUGCUAAUUGAUAAAAUCAUCCAUCGUGAAUUUUCCAUCUGAGUGGCAACACUAGACAAGAGGAAGAUCUGGUAACUCUAGCUAGGCCACUCCAGAGGAGGUCUUGCGUCGUCCGCCUCGCGAGGCUUGGCCCCUCGCGAGGGUCUUGGAUGCUUUGUUGGUGAAGAUGGGCGGUACGGCCCGCUGGCUCCGCCAUGCCGUGGGCCGCAGGCAGGCAAGUCUGGAGACCCCCAUUCCGAGAACGCCGACAUAAUGGGGA